rnacentral:misc_RNA from 1 species
UUUGUCUAGUCCCUUCUGCUGCCACUUGUCGACCUUCCUUAUCCCAGCAGGCAGGAGAAGGCUAUCCUCCCUUUGACCCGUCCGUGGAUUUCCUCUCCUUUGCUGGAUUGGUAUGUAGAUAACCAUUUUGGGUUUGAUUAGUUUGCAACCGGUUUGAAUGUGUUAAGGGUCUCUUUGGGCUACCUAGUUUUUCGAUUUCUUUCCUUCUCCUAGUCUAUUUUGUCUUGCUAGUCUAGAGCUUUUGUGAUGCAUGUUGUGAGCAGAAGCUAUGGUGGUUGUUUGUGGGGUUUUGGCUAUAUGAUUAACUCAGAAGGUGCAAAUGGGUAUCGCCUCUUAUCCUCUACUCUUAAUAGGUGCCAAUUUGAUUCAUUCACGGGAGUCUCGUUAAUCCCUGGCUCGUCAACCUAGAGCUUUUAUAGCUCAGUUUGUUGAGUUUGUGGAGCUAUUGCUUUGAGAGUAGAAAGAGAUCAUUGUAUUUGUUGCCUUGUCGACAGCCUUGAAGAGUUGCAGACGAAGACUAAAUGAAUGGCUCCCUACGGACUUCAGUUAGAAAUAGGCCAUGCAUGGGGACCAUAAAAUCAGGGACCCUCAGUUUUUGUGCUCAUGGUUGCAUGAUGUCAUCCCCGGCGACCGAUGGCUCUUUGGCAUGGUGAGCGGCGCUGUUAGGUUGCACAUCAUUUGCUUGCCAGGUCAAGGGGAAUUUCGGGUCGAAUACCAACUGCUUACCAAGGUUUUUAAGUGAUCCGAGUUAUGGGCAUUUAAUAUAUUCUAUCGGGUAUUGGGAGCUGGUUUUUGUAUGGAAUGAAUCUUUCCUUGUAAUUUGGCCUAUAGCCCUGUUUUCAAUCCAUUUAUCAAUGAAAAAAAAAUCAGCCUGUUUUGAUAGAGAGUAAAUAAAUCCGGAAAAACAAAAACAGACCCAAACAGG